rfam:Sphingobium baderi strain DE-13, complete genome.
AGCAUAUUUUGCUCAGGCGGAGCUCGACCGCCCGUUCCGGCGAUGAUCGCGUUCAUUGACGAUCACCGCGAUACCUAUGCUCGGCGGAUCAUCGGCUGGCGGGCCAGCA